rnacentral:tRNA from 1 species
GCCUGGGUGGCUCAGUCGGUUAAGCGUCUGACUUCGGCUCAGGUCAUCAUCUCACGGUCCGUGAGUUCGAGCCCCGCGUCGGGCU